rnacentral:rRNA from 1 species
GGCGUAAACAAAGGGAGGCGAAGGAGCAAUCCGGAGCGAACCCCAAAAAUAACGUCUCAGUUCGGACUGUGGUCUGCAACCCGACCACACGAAGCUGGAAUCGCUAGUAAUCGCGAAUCAGAAUGUCGCGGUGAAUACGUUCCCGGGUCUUGUACACACCGCCCGUCACACCAUGGGAGUCAGCAACGCCCGAAGUCAGUGACCUAACCGAAAGGGAGGAGCUGCCGAAGGCGGGGCCGGUAACUGGGGUGAAGUCGUAACAAGGUAUC